rnacentral:rRNA from 1 species
GGAAUUGUUCGCAAUGGGCGCAAGCCUGACGACGCAACGCCGCGUGGAGGAUGAAGGUCUUCGGAUUGUAAACUCCUGUUGCCCGGGACGAAUUGCUUCGACCUAACACGUCGACGUUUGACGGUACCGGGUGAGUAAGCCCCGGCUCACUCUGUGCCCGCAGCCGCGGUAAUCCAGAGGGGGCAAGCGUUGUUCGGAAUUACUGGGCGUAAAGGGCGCGUAGGCGGCCAUUUAAGUCAGACGUGAAAUCCCCGGGCUCAACCCGGGAACUGCGUCUGAUACUGGAUGGCUUGAAUCCGGGAGAGGGAUGUGGAAUUCCAGGUGUAGCGGUGAAAUGCGUAGAUAUCUGGAGGAACAUCGGUGGCGAAGGCGGCAUCCUGGACCGGUAUUGACGCUGAGGCGCGAAAGCCAGGGGAGCAAAC